GUAGGGGUGCGAGCGUUAUCCGGAAUCAUUGGGCGUAAAGAGCUCGUAGGCGGUUCAGCAAGUCGGCUGUGAAAUUCCGAGGGCUCAACCUCGGAACUGCAGUCGAUACUGCUGUGACUCGAGUCCGGUAGAGGAGAAUGGAAUUCCCGGUGUAGCGGUGAAAUGCGCAGAUAUCGGGAGGAACACCAGUAGCGAAGGCGGUUCUCUGGGCCGGCACUGACGCUGAGGAGCGAAAGCGUGGGUAGCAAACAGGAUUAGAUACCCUGGUAGUCCACGCCGUAAACGCUGGAUACUAGGUGUGGCGUUCCGACCAACGGUCGCCGUGCCGAAGCUAACGCAUUAAGUAUCCCGCCUGGGGAGUACGGCCGCAAGGCUA
rnacentral:rRNA from 1 species